ACUAGGAUUUAUCCUGGGGUCACAACGGGCUUGAUUUGCAAACUUUAUUUAGCGAGGAACAAUUGGAGGGCAAGUCUGGUGCCAGCAGCCGCGGUAAUUCCAGCUCCAAUAGUGUAUAUUAAUGUUCCUGCAGUUAUUCGAUGCUCGUAGUUGGAUUUCUGGGGGCUGAGAUUGGAAGGUGGCCAAGGUCACCGCCGAACUCUUCCUUCAUCCACCUGUUAACGUUGUCCGGGAUUUGUUUCUCGGCUUCAGGCUCAGGUAUUUUACCCUUUCUAUAUAUUCAUUUACUUAUCUUCUUUUUGAGUAAAUUAUAGUGUUUCAGGCAGGCGUGCGCCGGAAUACUUUAGCAUGGAAUAAUCGAAUUGGACCGUGUAUUCUUAUAGAAUUCUUCCUUAUUUGUUGGUUUCAAGGACACGGAAAUGGUUAAUAGGGAUAGUGUUUUCAGGGGAGGCAUUAGUAUUUAAUUUCCAGAGGUGAAAUUCUUUGAAAUAUUAAAGACUAACUUAUGCGAAAGCAUUUAUUUUGCCAAUAAUGUUUUCAUUAAUCAUUGAACGAAAGUUAGGGGAUCAAAGACGAUCAGAUACCGUCCUAGUCUUAACCAUAAACGUUGCCGACUAGGGAUCGGAGGGCGUGCACAUUCCGCCUUCGGCACCUUACGAGAAAUCAAAGUCUUUUGGGUUCUGGGGGUAGUAUGGUCGCAAGGCUGAAACUUAAAGGAAUUGACGGAAGGGCACCACCAGGAGUGGAGCUUGCGGCUCAAUUUGACUCAACACGGGAAACCUUACCAGGUCCAGACAUAGCGAGGAUUGACAGAUUGAUAGCUCUUUCUUGAUUCUAUGGGUAUUUAUUUUAAUUUUGGUGGUGCAUGGCCGUUCUUAGUUGGUGGAGUGAUUUGUCUGGUUAAUUCCGUUAAACGAACGAGACCUCAGCCUGCUAAAUAGUUACCUGUCUUUCUUUUACGAGACUUGAUAACUUCUUAGAGGGACGUUGUGUGCAACCACAAGGAAGUUGAGGCAAUAACAGGUCUGUGAUGCCCUUAGAUGUCCUGGGCCGCACGCGUGCUACACUGAUACGUACAACAAGGUAUAUGCAUUUAUGCAUCGAUGCUGCUCCGAAAUAGACACAGCUAAAUCUUCUAAAAUACGUAUCGUGCUGCGGAUAGAUCGUUGAAAUUAUGGAUCUUGAAGGUGGAAUUCCUAGUAAGCGCGGGUCAUCAACCCGCGUUGAUUACGUCCCUGCCCUUUGUACACACCGCCCGUCGCUCCUACCAAUUUCGAGUGGCUCGGUGAACCUCUUUGGACUGUCGAGCGAUCGCGAAAUUAGAGUGAACCUGGUCAC
rnacentral:rRNA from 1 species